rnacentral:lncRNA from 1 species
UCCCAUAAUACAAACAUUAAAAAUCAAAUUAUUUACAAAUUUUGUAAAAAAAAAUAUUGAAAAUUUUCAAAAUACAAACAUUAAAAAUCAAAUUAUUUACAAAACUAAAAAUCAAAUUAUUUACAAUACAGCCCACCAAUCAUUUAAUAUACAAUCAACCACCAUAAGAAUACAAACAUUAAAAAUCAAAUUAUUUACAAAAUUUAUCGAGGUUCCAAAUCCAAACUACAAAACAUACAAAAGACUAAAAAUUACAACUCAUCAUCCGCAUCCUCAUUCUUAGCCUCACCCAUUCUAUUAUCAAUAUUUCGUUGAUAUAUCCGGCUAUAAUCAAGUUCCAUCUACACAAUCAAUCACAUUCAAGUAAUUAGUUAAGUCAAAAAAAUUCACAUUUCAAGUACCUACACUUAAACAUUUUCAAGUCACUAAUUCACUUCUCAAGUGACCACACUUUACUAAAAUGAAAACACAAGUUCACAUUUCAAGUUCCUAAAUUCAAAAUGAAAAGUUCACAUUUCAAAUACCUACACCUAAACAUUUUCAAGUCACUAAUUCACUUCACAAGUCACCAAACUAAACUUAAUUCAAAAUGAAAAGUUCACAUUUCAAGUACCUACACCUAAACAUUUUCAAGUCACUAAUUCACUUCACAAGUCACCAAACUAAACUUAAUUCAAAAUGAAAAAUUCACAUUUCAAGUACCUACACUUAAACAUUUCAAGUCACUAAUUCACUUCACAAGUCACCAAACUGAACUAAAUUCAAAAUGAAAAAUUCACAUUUCAAGUACCUACAUCUAAACAUUUCAAGUCACUAAUUCACUUCACAAGUUACCAAACUGAACUAAAUUCAAAAUGAAAAGUUCACAUUUCAAGUACCUACACUUUAAACAUUUUCAAGUCACUAACUCACUUCUAAAGUGACCACACUUAACUAUAUUCAAAACAGAAGUCCACCUUUCAAGUAACUACACUUAAAAAUUUUCGACUCACUAAUGCACUUCUCAAAUGACCACACUAAACUAAAUUCAAAACACAAGUCCACAUUUCAAGUACCUGCACAUAAACAUUUUCAAGUCAUUUAUUCACUUCUCGAGACCACACUUAACUAAAUUCAAAACACAAAUCCACAUUUCAAGUACCUACACUUAAAUAUUUUCAAGUCAUUAACUCACAUCUCAAGAGACCACACUUAACUAAAUUCAAAACACAAGUCCACAAUCAAGUACCUACACUUAAACAUUUUCAAGUCACUAACGCACUUCUCAAGAGAUCACAGUUAACUAAAUUUAAAACACAAAUCCACAUUUCAAGUACCUACACUUAAAUAUUUUUGACUCACUAACUCAAUUCUCUAGUGACCACACUUAACUAUAUUCAAAACACAAGUCCACCUUUCAAGUAACUACACUUAAACAUUUUUGACUCACUAAUUCACUUCUCAAAUGACCACACUUGACUAAAUUCAAAACACAAGUCCAUGUUUCAAAUACCUACAUUUAAAGAGCAACCGGUGUAUUUGGUUAAUUUUCAAGAAAAUAGUAGAGGGGAAUAGGGAUCUGGAAAUAAUGCUACAGUAACAUUUUCUCAGCAAGUGUUUGAACUUUCAGUCUUCCCAUAAAUCGGGACGUUAUGUUAUUACAUAGUCGUUUUCUUUUACCUAUUCCAUAUGUACAGAAUUAUGUUUCACUCGCUUCCUUAUGAAUUGAUGGAUAAAUGUUUUUUUGUUUCUUGUAAUAUAUAAUACUCCCUCCGUCCUAUUUUAUGUGUCGCUAUUUGACCGGGCACAGAAUUUAAGAAAUAAAAAAGACUUGGUUAUGUUAAACAAAUUGUCCUUUUAUCAAAAAAUGUGCUACUAUUUUUUUUAAUUAAAUUAAAUGGGACCAACAAGAGUAAAAGUAAAUUGUGUACCAAAUAAGAAAAGAUACAUUCUUUUUGGACGGACUAAAAGCAAAAUGAUACACAUGAAAUGGGACGGAGAGAGUAUAAUUUUACAUUUUACAUAAAUAAUUUCUAUAUAAUGAAUUGCUCCAAGUGACCAAACUUUCGGUACCUAAAAAGAAAGUAGUAUAGCUCAAAAUUGUAUUUUGCAUCAACUGUGCCAGUCUUUUCUGAAAUAAACAACGAAAAAAGAUGGUCAAUUGUACCUCUGUGUAACACCAAUCAUAUCACAACUAGUUCUAAACUUAUGGGUCGUGUAGCAAUUUUGAAAUCUUUUUACACUAACACCUGUUGCUUUACACUAAUUCCUACUAUAACAUCAAAACCCAUUUGCCAAAUGAAAACAGUAACUCACUCCCAACUCCUCCAAAAACUUCAACACACAAACAGCAAAGUAAGUAAUCAUACACGCCAGUAAAAUCAUAUUACUAAGAUCAUGAUUCAACAAUAGUAUUGCCGAACAAAUGGUAAUGGACCAAGUAUAUGUCAAUUAAGGAAUAGAAAUAUCAGGAAAUCAAAGAGUCAAAUCAGAAUUCAAAAAAUCAAAUUUCACUAAUUUCAAAUCACAGAAUCAGUAAAACAAAAAUAAUCAACAUAAAGGGUUUUGGGUGAAACUUGAAAAAGGAAACCAAACCUAAGACGGAUUCACAUGUGAAUCCGUUAUGUACUUAAGAUUCUUCCGUUGAUGUUUAACGGAGUGACGAUGGUAAUGGACUAAUUUUUUUAUCGGAAAUGGGUGGAGCAAUGGCGGCGUUGGUUGGAGAUUCAUCUUCCAUGGUUGGCGUCCACCGGUGAGACUGAUUUCGCUGGCCAAAAUGAUGGUACGGUGGCCGAAGUUGGCUGUUAUGGCGGCUGGUUCGGAUUUGGUGGCCAGCGGUGCAUUUGGCUGUUGGAUUUCACCGGUUGAUCGAUGGAGAGGGAGUCGAUGCUGGAGCAGUGGCUGGUGGGUAGCGAUGAUGGCGGCAGUUCUGAUGGUUCCGCCGGCUGGAGGCACGGCUGGAAAUAGGAGAGUGGAGAGAGGAGGCCGACAAUCGGGCGCGACUGCUCCGGCAUCUCCCAGAUACGGUGACCGGCGGCAUCUUUUGCUAUUUGAUAGAGAAAGAAAGAAAGAAAAAGAGGAAAAGGGAGAAAGCUCUAUGCGGCUGUUGAGGGAAUAGUUGGAUUAG